ensembl:lncRNA
CCGCUGUAUAAAAUCUUUGUUGUCGGUAGAGAUGCGAACAGCCGUCGAUUGUCAAGCACUAAUCGCAACCUCCAGAUCCACGAGCAAAUUAUAUUUAGCUGAUGUUUAGAAGAUGUUGCACCUGUGUUCCCAGAUCAGAUUAAUUAUGGAAGUCGUUGUCAAGACGACGUUAGCCGAGAUGGAGAAAGUAAUCGAGACUGGAACCCUACAGUCCCUGACAGAAAUCGACACAUGUAACUCUAACUCACCAAAUACAUCUUCGGAACUGAUGGCAGUCAUUUAUUUGGUUGGAGCCCUAGCGGCAGCUAUGACGACUACAGCUCGGAGUCAACGGAAAAGAAAGAAGCUGCUGGAAGCGAGGCAGAGUGUACUAACUGCAGAUCAAAUGGACUUCUGGAAGGGCAUCAUGAUUGAUGUGAUAUCCCAUGAGGAGGAGCCUCCACAGGCAGGAGCUCACCGACCUGUGUGCCACACAACACAACAAGACUGGAAGCUAAUCUGAAGUACAUGGCUACACAACAAGACUGGAAGCUAAUCUGAAGUACAUGGCUACACAACACAACAAGACUGGAUGCUAAUCUGAAGUACAGGCAGGAGCUCACCGACCUGUGUGCCACACAACACAACAAGACUGGAAGCUAAUCUGAAGUACAUGGCUACACAACACAACAAGACUGGAUGCUAAUCUGAAGUACAGGCAGGAGCUCACCGACCUGUGUGCCACACUGCAGGCAAGCCUGGAUGCUAAUCUAAGUACAUGGCUACACAACACAACAAGACUGGAUGCUAAUCUGAAGUACAGGCAGGAGCUCACCGACCUGUGUGCCACACUGCAGGCAAGACUGGAUGCUAAUCUAAGUACAUGGCUACACAACACAACAAGACUGGAUGCUAAUCUGAAGUACAGGCAGGAGCUCACCGACCUGUGUGCCACACUGCAGGCAAGACUGGAUGCUAAUCUAAGUACAUGGCUACACAACACAACAAGACUGGAUGCUAAUCUGAAGUACAGGCAGGAGCUCACCGACCUGUGUGCCACACUGCAGGCAAGACUGGAUGCUAAUCUAAGUACAUGGCUACACAACACAACAAGACUGGAUGCUAAUCUGAAGUACAGGCAGGAGCUCACCGACCUGUGUGCCACACUGCAGGCAAGACGAUCCUAAUCUGAAGUACAGGCAGGAGCUCACCCACCUGUGUGCCACACUGCAGGAAAGACUGGAUGCUAAUCUGAGUACAUGGCUACACAACACAACAAGACUGGAUGCUAAUCUGAGUACAUGGCUACACAACACAACAAGACUGGAUGCUAAUCUAAGUACAUGGCAACACAACACAGACGUCUGCACACGGAGGUGCAGUCUGAGGCCCCAGGUCCCUACUGUUGACUGACUUUUCUUCUAGUUGCUGCACAUGUUAAAAGUUACUGGCUAGGCCUGUAGUUCUUUUCAGACAGUAGUGCUUGCUAGUUAAUGUGAGAUUCACAUUAGUUGUUAGUUGUUUUGUGGGCAGGGUCUUCUUGGAACUUUCCUGCUAUUUCUACACAGUUGUGCAAUAAAGCUCUUUUUUGUAAUCAAUAAGCCUUGCAAAUGUAUUUUUCUUUCACCAGUAAAUUCAUGCAUGUCCUUGAUUAUAGUGUAGCCCAUCGGUUCCCAAACUGGGGAACUACCCCCAGGGGUACGCGAAGUGGUUCAGGGGGUACGCGGGGAGAAAAUGUCCGCGAUAACAGAAAACGGACGGAAUUCG